GAAGAAGUGAAUUAAGGGCAUUUGGUGGAUGCCUUGGCAUGCACAGGCGAAGAAGGACGUGAUACGCUGCGAUAAGCCGUGGGGAGCUGCGAAUAAGCUUUGAUCCAUGGAUUUCCGAAUGGGGGAACCCACCUUAAAUGCUUGGAGAAUCUAAGUUGUGCUUCGGUACGGCUUAGGUUUCCAAGCAUUAUGAUAAGGUAUCUGCAUCUGAAUACAUAGGGUGUAAGAAGCGAACUCAGGGAACUGAAACAUCUAAGUACCUGAAGGAAAGGA
rnacentral:ncRNA from 1 species